UAGAUGUUGUAGGUACUGAGGGGAAGAGUAGCUAUUUCUUUAUAGUGUCAGGAAGGGAGUGGGGUUCAAGUUUAUCACAUAAUUUUCAGAAAUUUAACAAAGUUGUCUAGGACUAACAUUAUAUGUAUGGCCAUGUCCCAUCCACUCUUUUUUUGUUGUUUUUUUGCUUUUUGUUUUUUUUCUUUUUCACAGGUGCCCCUGCAGCAUGUGGAAGUUCCCAGGCUAGGGGUCCAAUCAGAGCUGCAGCUGCCAGCCUAAGCCACAGCCACAGCAAUGCCAGAUCUAAGCCACAUCUGCAAACUACGCCACAGCGUGGCAAUGCCUGAUCCUUACCCACUGAGUGAGGCCAGGGAUCCAACCCACAUCCUCAUGAACACUAGUAGGGUUCUUAACUUGCUGAGCCACAACAGGAACUCCAUGUCCUCUCCACUUUUUUGUUAGCUUCUUCAAUAUUUCUGUGUCCUUAAUGUCCUUAGAUAAGGAGAUGUCGUUAAUGCAGUGUCCUACCUGUGUUCUUAGAGAACCUGUGUUCUUAGGGAAACUAGCCUUAGUUCAGAUCCAUGAGGAUAAUCCAAUAAAGACGUAUCACCAUGCUUCAGAGCUGAAGGCCAACUGCUGCUGAGAGGCUAUUGAAAUAGGCACUGAACACACUUAGCCAAAUCUGUGAGAACAGAAUAUUUAUCAGUUGCUGAUUAGAUGGAAUCAGUAAUUUCUAUAACGCUAGGGACUGGGUGUUAGGGUUCUGUUGGUACAACCACAGCCUCAAGGUUGCCUUAAUCCAUUGUAGCGUGAGAUUCUUUCCUGGUUUAAUAAUAGAACAAAUUGGGAUGUUGGAAGGAGAAGAACUUGGAAUAGUUAACCUUUCCCUAACUAGGUUUUGUAUACAGUUUUCAAUCCAUCAAGGUCCUGCAUAAUUUAUGUUGGGCCGUAUUAACUAAUUUAUAUGGAAAGUAAGGUUUGUGAGGUCCCAUUUUGUCAAGCCAGUUUUAUAUUUUUUUUUGGCCACGUCUGCAGCAUGCUAAGGCUGCUGGGCCAGGCAUCAAACCCAUGCCAUAGCAGUGACAACACUGGAUGCUUAACCUGCUGAGCCAGCAUGGAACUCCAAGCCAUUUUAAUCCAUGAAUCAUUGACUCAGUAUGGAAUAUUUUAGGACAAUGGGUAUUGUAACCAUGGAGAAUUUAGUUCUGAUGGUUACGGAGAAAUAUUGUCCUAUUUGUCCUCUAUAUUAUAUUCAUUAGUGCUCCUAAGAUUAUCAGAGGUAUCUUGCUUAAAUUUAGUGGGAUAUCAGGUAAAUUUGAGACCUAGUAUUGAUUGGCCACUCGAAGGUUUCUAAAGUAGCACUUUACAUCAGAUAGCAAAAUUAAUUCAGAACCUAUGUUGUGGAAGCCCAAAAGCCAAGCAGUGUCCUUUCAUCUGUUUUGCUGUGUAAAUUUUUUUAGUAUAUUUUGGAUUUCCUGUUGGACCAAAUUGUGGACCUUGGUUUCAGUAUUUUACCUAUUAUUUCCUUCCUCCUGAUCUGCCCUGUUUUGUUUUUUUCUUCACUGAAUAUACUUCAGGGAAGGGGGUGCCUCUCCGCCCUGGUUUUUAUAAAUUUUUUUCAAGAGCCUCAAAACUGUGCCCUCAGGGUUAGGAGUCUUCCCCAUGACAAUAUUACAGGGUUUAAUAAACCGAGGCUUAGGUCAGAUUUGAAUGAACACAUUUAUCACAUCACAAGGAUGCCAUGGGUGUUGUCCUCUAUAAUGCCAAGGGUUACAAUCUUUGAAGCUGCACUCCAAUUUGACUCCUAGCCUGGCAAUUUCCAUAUGCUGCAGGUGCAGCUGUAAAAAGAAAAAAAAAAAUGCAUCCACAAUUGCUUGAUUUAAAGAAACAGAAUGCUCAAGAAUUUUUCAGAAGUAUAUUGGGGUGGGCGGGAGUAACAGCACUGGAGGGGACCAGGGUAUGUGGUCAGUGAGUCUUAAGUCAGAUUUUCCUAUCUUACAAAUUUAUUUGAAGUAGAGAAAUUUGAGAGUUCUAUGGUGGCCUAGUGGUUAAGAAUCUUGCAUUGUCACUGCCUGCAGCUGGGGUCUCUGCCUUCGUAGAGGUUCAGUCUCUGGGCCAGGAACUUUCUUUUCUUUCACUCUUUCUUUCUUUCUUUCUCUCUUUCUUUCUCUCUCUCUCUCUUUUUUAUCUUUUUAGGGCCGUAACUGCAGCAUAUGGAGGUUCCCAGGCUAGAGGUGGAAUUGGAGCUGUAGCUGCCGGCCUACACCAUAGCCAGAGCAACACCAGAUUCAGGCUGCAUCUGAGACCUACACCACAGCUCAUGGCAGCUCGGGAUCCUUAACCCACUGAUCAAGGCCAUGGAUCCUAGUCAGAUUCGUUUCUGCUGAGCCAUAACGGCAAUUCCAAAAUGGGGUUCUUGCUGUGGCACAGUGGGUUAAGAAUCCCAUGUUGCCAUGGGUACAGUGUAGGUCAUAGCUGUGGCUGGGAUUCAUUCCCUGGCCCGGGAACUUCCAUAUGCCCCAGGUAUAGUCAAAAAAGAAAAAAGAGAGAAGAGAAACAAGAAUUUUUAACACGUGCGGUAUUAUGUUGGAAUAUUUUAUUUCCUGAUAUUCAUUUCUUUAUUGCCUCUUGGAUAUAUUUCAUACUGUUUCAAGUUUUAUUGAUUAAAUAAAAUUUACUAAUUGAAACACC
rnacentral:lncRNA from 1 species